rnacentral:rRNA from 1 species
CUACGGGUUGCUGCAGUGGGGAAUAUUGGACAAUGGGGGCAACCCUGAUCCAGCAAUGCCGCGUGUGUGAAGAAGGCCUUCGGGUUGUAAAGCACUUUGGCCUGGGAAGAAGGCUUGUAUUUUAAGAGAUAACAAGCUUGACGGUACCAGGAGAACAAGCACCGGCAAACUCUGUGCCAGCAGCCGCGGUAAUACAGAGGGUGCGAGCGUUAAUCGGAAUUACUGGGCGUAAAACGCGCGUAGGUGGUUAGAUCAGUUGGGUGUGAAAGCCCCGGGCUCAACCUGGGAAUUGCAUCCAAUACUGUCUGGCUAGAGUAUGGUAGAGGGAAGUGGAAUUCCGCAUGUAGCGGUGAAAUGCGUAGAGAUGCGGAGGAACACCAGUGGCGAAGGCGACUUUCUGGACCAAUACUGACACUGAGGUGCGAAAGCGUGGGGAGCAAACAGGAUUAGAUACCCCAGUAGUC